GCAUCAAUCCCUGUAUAGGGCACAGAGCUAUGUAAUGGAACAGUGUCCUCCUUGUUUAAUACAUCAGCAAUUCUAUUAUGCCUUGAUUCUCAAAUUGGGGUGAAUAAGCUGUCUAGUUCAACUGUUAUUGGGGAGUCCACCUUUUUUAAAA